AUUGAACGCUGGCGGCAUGCUUUACACAUGCAAGUCGAACGGCAGCGGGGUAGUGCUUGCACUACUGCCGGCGAGUGGCGAACGGGUGAGUAAUAUAUCGGAACGUACCGAGUAAUGGGGGAUAACCAAUCGAAAGAUUGGCUAAUACCGCAUACGUCCUGAGGGAGAAAGCGGGGGAUCGCAAGACCUCGCGUUUUUCGAGCGGCCGAUAACUGAUUAGCUAGUUGGUGGGGUAAAGGCCUACCAAGGCGACGAUCAGUAGCGGGUCUGAGAGGACGAUCCGCCACACUGGGACUGAGACACGGCCCAGGCUCCUACGGGAGGCCGGAGUGGGGAAUUUUGGACAAUGGGGGCAACCCUGAUCCAGCCAUGCCGCGUGUAUGAAGAAGGCCUUCGGGUUGUAAAGUACUUUUGUUAGGGAAGAAAAGGGAAGUACUAAUACCACUUUUUGCGGACGGUACCUAAAGAAUAAGCACCGGCUAACUACGG
rnacentral:rRNA from 1 species